AGUGAACGCUGGCGGUAGGCCUAACACAUGCAAGUCGAACGGCAGCACAGUAAGAGCUUGCUCUUACGGGUGGCGAGUGGCGGACGGGUGAGGAAUACAUCGGAAUCUACUUUUUCGUGGGGGAUAACGUGGGGAAACUUACGCUAAUACCGCAUACGACCUACGGGUGAAAGCAGGGGAUCUUCGGACCUUGCGCGAUUGAAUGAGCCGAUGUCGGAUUAGCUAGUUGGCGGGGUAAAGGCCCACCAAGGCGACGACCCGUAGCUGGUCUGAGAGGAUGAUCAGCCACACUGGAACUGAGACACGGUCCAGACUCCUACGGGAGGCAGCAGUGGGGAAUAUUGGACAAUGGGCGCAAGCCUGAUCCAGCCAUACCGCGUGGGUGAAGAAGGCCUUCGGGUUGUAAAGCCCUUUUGUUGGGAAAGAAAAGCAGCAGGUUAAUACCCCGCUGUUCUGACGGUACCCAAAGAAUAAGCACCGGCUAACUUCGU
rnacentral:rRNA from 1 species